ensembl:lncRNA
GUCGUACUUUGUGUUCUCUUCCAAAAGCCGAGUGAAGGCGCGGAGGCAGUGGCAACCCCGGAGAAUGUUACGGAGGCUCCUGCCAUCAUCCCCGUAGCGGAAGCUCCCUCAGCACACACAUCUGAAUCAUCAGCAGACGGAUCAGUGGAGGGAAAAUCCGCGGGCUCCGGGUCCCUGGCCGGCAUCCUGAGUGCCCUCUGUGUGGCGCUGGUGGGCUCCGUCAGCGGCUACUUCACCUACCAGAAGAAGAAGCUCUGCUUCAAGAACAGAGAAGCUGACCCUGAAGCAGCCCGGAAAGCUGACGCGGCAGCAGUAGCUGAAUCAGACCCCCAGGGUAGGAAACACACACACACACACACACACACACACACACACACACACACACACAAACUCAAGAACACACACACACACACACAAACUCAUGGACAGACACACACACACACAAACUCAUGGACACACACACAGAGACACACACACGCUCACACACACACACACACACACACACAAAAACUCAUGACAUGCACACACACACACACACACACACACACACACACACACACACAAAGACGGAUGGACGCAUGAGGGUGCAUGCACACACAUGCACACCAGACACUCAGGCAUUGGUGCACACAUUCACAGUUGACCAAAAACACACACAAAAAUACAUGUAUACAAACCCUCACAAUGAUGUUCUCUUCAUGUACUGAUGAAGUCUGUUUUGUAUUUUUAUCAAACUCUAAUCUAAAUUCUCCUUUAUGUUAGUUUUUCCUUCUUCUUUCUGUUUUACCUCAUGUCUAUUGAUUGUCAAUCCCACACAACUCAUCGAUACACAUCGUGAUAAACAUUAUUGUAUUUAGUGUGCUGACUGUUUGUUGUCUGUUUAUUUGCAGUCCUUAGCACCCUGAUCACCUCCUCCUAGACCGCCAUCACAUGACCCUCAUCGACCAAUCGCAGCGGUGACUGUAGAGUAACGAGGGGGGUUUCACUUUAGGGUCGUGAACAUCUGACAUGCACGUUUGUGUGUGUGUUUGCACACAAAUGUGUUGAAGUUGAUGUGUGUGUGUGUUUAAAUAUGUCAGAGAAGGAGCAUUGAAAGAGAAUUUGAAUUAUUAUUGAAUAAUUCAAUUUGUGGGUGAUUUUGUUUUUUGUUCGUAAGUCCCUGAGAAAAUUUGAUAAUCAAUCCCCUUUAACUUGUGUACAAAUAAUAACCUGAAAUGGUAAACUAAACUGGAACAGCUUUUCUUCAUGUUUUGCACGAGAGUUCGGAUUUCUCAGCAGCACUAAGGUGCACUACAAUUGGUAUAACAGUUACACAAUACACACAACAAAGACACAUAGUGCAAACUUGUAUCUGCUUGGUUUCAGUCCGGUAAUCGUUGUACACUGUGAAUGUAGUUGGAGCCCCUGAGCUGCGACAGCAAUAGACAGGUGGCAGGUUCAGCCAUUCUGGAGCACCCAGUGUUCAUUGCAUUCCUACUGCACUGCUGGAGCACUUUGACUUCACACACGCUUUGGACAAAGACUAAUGCAAUGUGGCCGGCUCACUAGAAAGGCUUAUCUCUGAUACAUGCUGGGUGCAUCCUUCAAUGGCUGGGGCUGCUGUACUGGACCACGAGAUAAAGUGUUCGGUGGUCCGAUCCCUCCUAGACUGGGCCUGUAUGUGUUAUGUGUGCAUACAUACGUGUGAUGUGUGUGUUUUUUGACUGGUUGGUUGGUGGUGGGGAGUUUCCAUGUUCUGGGUGACCACUGUUCCUCUUCUUAGUGAAUUCAGGAAGCACGUUCAAGCAGGGUUUCAAAAUAAUAUUCAAAUAAGACAAAAAAAGUUCUCAACGUUUUAUUUGAUGACAACACCUGAAAAUAAAAAAAGGGACAAGUCACUGUUCAAAUCCACAAGAACUUUUAGUUGUCAUUUAUUUCAUUUAUAAUCUCCUGAAUUGACUCAAGUGAGGUAGGGUGAACCUCCUUUUUGUGUCUGUCGACAAUGCGUCCUCCAGAGUGGACGGACCAGUGAUGUUUGGUGGCGUACUCUUGGAUCUAGUCUGUAAAUCUAGUUGUGAUGCAGUCCUGUCUGCGGUGCCUUCCACUGACACAGCGCUCACUUGAACGAGCUCCAGAAACGAACGCAUUUAAAGCGCACAUUUUGGGCCAUUACGAGGAAUGAUAAUGUUUUCUUAGUUUACAAUCUCAUAACAGGAAUCAUCUUUAUCCAAUCAAUGAGUGACGGCUAGCAAAGAUUGGGAACCAUCGGACCAAUGGGAAGGGACGGGGUGGGGCUUUUGACUUUGUAAUGACAGUUAGAUGAUUGAUGUCCUCCCAGCUGCUUUGACUCUAGGAUAAAAAACAUCCUGAUCUGAGUGGCUCGUAUGUUUCUGGAACAGUUGAUCAAGUAGGUUGCUGUCGCUAUAUAUAUAUAUAUAUAUAUACAAAUAAUAGAUGUUUCUCGUUCAAAUCCUUUCUGAUCAUUUAUGUAUCUUGUUAGCACCGCCUCAAAGCUGAUGCGAACAUCUUGUCAAGGGUGGAACUUCUCGUUCAAAUUAUAAAACUGGAUCAGAUGUUUAAAAUUAUAAAAUGGAUCACCCUUUUUCACCAUUUUAGUUCUAACAAUGUAAGAAUAUCACUCUGUUGCCUUGUUGUUUGAUGCCUUCCUUUCUGUACCAGCCUCCUUUGAUUUGUCAGAAGGGUUUUUUGUAUGAUGUGCUCAACGUCCACCGUUUGGUUUUAGGAGACAAUAAAAGGCUGUUGCUUGGCGGGCUAGCCGAGGUCAAAGACCUGAUGUGUGAUGGUCUGUUUUUAUAUUGCCCACAUAUCAUGGGCUCAGCCUCUUGAUGCGACCCAGGUCCGGUUCAUUCCUGCUCCACUGCUGUGUGUUCUGCCCAGCAACUAUACAGAACCCACAACACGAUUGGUUGCAUAUACUUUGAGGUAUAAAACUGAUUCACUAAAUGUGUAUCCAGGCCCUUUAAGCAAGACAUCCAUACUUAAAGGGUAAUUCCGAUGUAAAAUGGAUUUGGGAUAUGUUUUGUACGACAACGAGUUGAAACGUUCAUUUUGGAGCACAAAAACUGCUAUAGACGCUUUCUUCAGUUGGCCGUUUUUAGCCGAUUCUAUCAAACCGCUAUAAACUUGGAACGAUUGGGGCACUGGUUAUGGUAAAAACUAAAUCGCUAUUUUAAACCACUUAAAAGGCUAAAAGUAGCCCGACACUUCUUUGGUAGUAUAAUAAGGGUGUUAACAUAUAAAACGAGGCAUUGAGAACUUUUUAAGUGUUCAGAUUGUUUAUUAAAAAGGACAUUUUAUACACACAAUACCAUCAGUAGAUCACCCGUCAACACCAUUUUGUUUUUAAGACUCGAUAGGUAGAUUGACGAACACAGAGAUUUUGACAUCCAUAAGGAACACGCAAGCUAUGUUCGCCAAUCUACUUAUCGAGUCUUAAAAACAAAAUGGCGUCGACGGGUGAUCUACUGAUGGUAUUGUGUGUAUAAAAUUUCAUUUUUUUAUAAACAAUAUGUACAGUUACAAAGUUCUCAAUGCCUCGUUUUAUAUGUUAAGACUCUUAUUAUACUACCAAAGAAGUGUCGGACUACUUUUAGCCUUUUAAGUGGUUUAAAAUAGCGAUUUAGUGUUUACCAUAACCAGUGCCCCCAUCGUCAAAUUUAUAGCGUUUUGAUAGAAUCGGCUAAAAACAGCCAACUGUAGAAAGCGUCUAUAUGCGUUUUUUGUGCUCAAAACGAACGUUUCAACUCGUUAUAUCCCAAAUCCAUUUUACACCGGAAUUACCCUUUAAGUGCUGCACAGUUAAGUCUUUACUAUCUUCUGGAAUAUGUUAAUGGUCAAAAACUAAAGGACAUUCCCUUUAAGGAAGCUAGAAAUUAAUGCCUAUGUUAAACUGUGAAAGUCAAGCUGGAUGUGUAAAAGGGCAUUUGGCAAUAAGCCACAAUGAUGUAAUUGACGUAUGUCCUAUAGGUGAUCAAUUAAAUAUACUAUUCCUAUUCCUGAUAAUAGUUGGUAGGUAGUGGAUGAGCUGUACAUCAUACCCCCCUCCCCCCCACACACACAUACUCACUGCGCUUUGGGUACCGAGAAAAGGUAUAUGAAUUCAAUCAAUUUGUUAAUUAUUACUAACACAAAAUAAUAUAUGGGUGGGGGGGGGGGGGGUUGUGUGUGUACGAUAUCUUUGUUGUGUGUGGGUGGGUGUUUUUUAGCUAAUCUGGCCCCAAGAUGUGAUUGGGCUCCAAAGUUAGCUACAUGUCAUGUUGUUGAUGUUAGUAAGCAUUCCUUGUUACCAAUCAGGAAGUUGUUGGGAUCUAUGGCUCGCUGCUUCCUAAAGUGCACUUCCAGAAUAUUCCGAGGACAUGACAAUUGACUCCAUCCAAUUCUGCCUUAAACCAGUUCACAGUUUUUUUCUAAGAAAUACUAAACAAAAAAGGGAUCAAGCUGAAAUGUUUUAGGAAGAAUUGAGUCCAAUAUACUUUUAUCUUUGGUUAACCUAACUCAAUGAAUUCAGAAAAUCACUUUUUUAUCCUGGUUUCGGGAGCAAAAAGAGCAUUUCUAAUAAUUCAUGCAGACUCAUAUGACUUUGAUUUCACUAUUUAAUUAUUGUCUUUGUCACAUUUUGUAUUUCAUUCUAACCGUCUGUAAUCUGGCACAUGUUUGUUUUGUUUUUGUUGUGUAAAUAAUGUUAUAAGUCAAUAAACAAUGUUUUUGUGGGGGCUGGAGUCUCGCUCUCUAAGAGAAAAACAUCUGAGUUUUUAAUUAUUGUGACCACAUAUUGUGCCAGAUUUCUUCACACCAUUAAGGCAUAUUAACAG